AGGUCUUGGUAAACAACCUUUAUAAUGCUUACCCCUACAGAAUUGCAUUCUAUUAUCACAAAGUGAAUACAAGCCC
rnacentral:tRNA from 1 species